rnacentral:misc_RNA from 1 species
AGCGGAUAAGAGACCAAUAAUGUUGUAUUCAAAUUUAAGACUAUUUUGAUUUUUUUCUAACACAAUAAUAAUUUGCGAUAGUUAAAAAAUAUGAAUCAAAUGUUAUAGUAGCAUUAUUAAUUAAUUUCGUUAGAACUCAGUCUCGGUAUCCAAGUUAAAGUUGAUCUUAAACUUUAAAUUUCUUAAGCUGAAAUUUGAACAUGAAAUUGAAAAGCAAUGACGGGAUAUUUGGACUUAAGCUCAAAAACAUUCGUAGGUUUAUCGGGAAAGCCUCGAGUCGAAAAUCUUUCUCUCAGUCUAGAUUAGUUUAUGUUGGACACAAGCACCCACCUGGCAGUGAAGAUGAAGUUGAAGUUGAAGAAAGAUUUCCUGAUAAUACCAUAGUUACUUCAAAGUACACAAUAUGGAACUUCAUUCCAAAGAAUCUUUAUGAGCAGUUUCGAAGAAUAGCUAACUUCUAUUUCCUGUGUAUUGCAGUUAUUCAACUAAGUAUAAAUAGUCCUGUCAGCCCACUUACCAGUCUAGCUCCACUCAUAUUUGUGGUUACUAUUACUGCUGUUAAACAAGGUUAUGAAGAUUGGUUGAGACACAAAGCUGAUCGUAUAGUGAAUCACAUGCAUGUUCGAGUUAUCAGAAAUGGAAAAAUAACCAGGACUAGGUCUCAAGACAUCAAGGUAGGAGAUAUUGUUAAGGUGAAAUCUGAUGAGGAGUUUCCUUGUGAUCUUGUAAUGCUAUCUUCUAGCAAUACAGAGGGAGUUUGUUACAUCACAACAGCUAACCUUGAUGGAGAAACCAAUCUCAAAGUUCAUGAGUGCCUUCCAGAAACUCGAGAUUACCAGACAGCAGAGAGUUUCAGCAGCUUUUGUGCUUCCAUUGAGUGUGAAGAACCAACAGCAAACCUUUAUACAUUUAUUGGAAGAAUGACAUGCUACAAAAAUAUACAAGAAACUAGUAUUGGCUCUUUAGGGCCAGUACAUUUGUUAUUGAAGGGAGCCAGACUUAAAAACACAAACUUUGUAUACGGUUGUUGUGUAUAUACAGGUCCCGAGACAAAACUGUCAUUGAACCUUAACCUUACAUACAACAAAUUUUCUACUGUAGAAAGGUCAAUGAACAAGUUUUUGAUCUUUUUUUUGGUACUGUUAGUAGUAGAAGUUUCUUUAGCAACAGGAAUGAAAUACUUUUAUCAGAAUGAUCCAGUGAGGGGCAUUCCAUGGUAUUUACCUGUAGAUGACAGUAUAAGUGCAAAAGGAGUAUUAUCUGAUCUUCUGGUUUUUGUGGUUCUUUUCAACUAUAUAAUACCAAUCUCACUGUAUGUUACAAUUGAAAUGGUGAAGUUUACCGGUUCUUUGUUUCUAACCUGGGAUGCUGAAUUGUAUGAUAGUAGUUCAGAUGAAUAUGCUAAGUGUAAUAGCUCAGACUUGAAUGAAGAACUUGGCCAGGUAGAGUACUUGUUCACUGAUAAAACUGGAACUCUAACAGAAAAUGACAUGGUUUUUCGUCAUUGCUCAAUUGAUGCUGUCAAAUACACAGAAUAUAGUGGUAUGCUCUGCAAAGUGUCUGAAUCACAGCAGAGAAGUCCUGAACCUCUCUUCCAUUAUGUUGGAGCAGUUGAAAGUUUCCUUCUUGUUUUAGCUGUCUGUAACACAGUCCAGACCUUUAACAAUGGAACACUAUCGCAGUUAAACAAUUUCCAUAACAGUUCUAACCUUGAAUAUCAUGCAUCAUCACCAGAUGAAAAAGCACUAGUAGAUGCUUGUUGGAGGCUUGGAGUUAUUCUGCAUGGUGUGUUCAAUGAUACCUACUAUGUAACAUUCAAAGGGAAGCUCCAUAAAUUUGAGCGACUUCACAUCUUAGAAUUUGAUUUUAACAGAAAAUGUAUGUCGGUGAUAAUUAGAAAUGAGGAAGGAAAUAUUUACCUGCUUUGCAAAGGAGCUGAAUCUACUGUUGUCAAAAAGUGUGUUUCUGGUCCAAAAAAUGACACACUGACCCAUGUGAACGAUUAUGCUCUAGAAGGGCUAAGAAUACUGGUAGUUGCCCACAAGCAACUUUCAGAAGCUGAAUUUCAGAAUUUUGACAUCAAAAUAAAAACAGCACGAGCUGAAAUGGUAAAUAGGGAAGAAAAAGUUUUGAGGGUUUUUGAAGAAAUUGAACAAAACAUGACAUUGUUAGGAGCUACGGCUGUGGAGGACAGGCUACAGGAUGGAGUUUGUGACACAUUAAGUGCUCUAAAAGAAGCUGGAAUAAAGGUUUGGGUUUUAACUGGAGACAAAGAAGAAACAGCUAUUAACAUCAGCUAUUUAUCAGGCCACUUUCAGAAAGAUAUGGAGCUUCUGAAGCUUAUAUGUCAGAGGACCAGUAGCCAAUGCCAUAGGCAACUGAACAAAAUUAAAAUUCUGAUGGAAAAAGAACCAAUCAAAAGUUAUGCUCUCGUUGUGGAUGGUCUCACACUGACAUUUCUUCUCAGUGAGCUUCGUGACGAAUUUUACAAAGUUUGUUGCCAAUGCACUGGUGUUCUGUGUUGUCGUAUGUCUCCCAUACAGAAAGCGGAGGUUGUGAAGUUCAUCAAGAAUGGAUCUGAGAAGGUGGUUACUGCUGCAAUUGGGGAUGGUGCAAAUGAUGUCAGCAUGAUUCAAGAAGCUCAUGUUGGUUUGGGCAUUAUUGGUAAAGAAGGCCGCCAGGCAGUACGAUGCAGUGACUUUGCUUUUGCUCGUUUCCGGUUCUUGCUACGUGUUCUACUUGUUCAUGGUCAUUACUACUACAUUCGAAUUUCCACAUUGGUGCAGUACUUUUUUUACAAGGAAUAUACGAAGAAAUGCCAAAAUGACUAAAUUACAGUUCACCAAGUGGAUUAUACAGGGAUUUUGGCAUUCACUUGUUCUUUACUUUGGUACACAUCUUUUUUGGAUAAAGAAUACUUCUUGUUUUUUGGAUGGUCAGAGUCUGGGUUUAUGGAGUUUUGGCACAUCAGUGUUUCAUAUACUUGUUCUCAUUGUUAACUUAAAG